UACGAAGGACCCGAGCGUUAUCCGGAUUCAUUGGGUUUAAAGGGUGCGUAGGCGGGCCUAUAAGUCAGUGGUGAAAGCCCUUCGCUUAACGAAGGAAUUGCCAUUGAUACUGUAGGUCUUGAGUAUAGUUGAGGUGGGCGGAAUGUGUCAUGUAGCGGUGAAAUGCUUAGAUAUGACACAGAACACCGAUUGCGAAGGCAGCUCGCUAAACUAUAACUGACGCUGAGGCACGAAAGCGUGGGUAGCAAACAGG
rnacentral:rRNA from 1 species